UACCCAUCCGUUUCCAACCUUUUUUGUUUUACCCUUCUAUUUUCAAAUAUCCCCACAUUACCCUUUUCAAAUGUGAAAAGGAAGAAUGAAGGUGUAGGUUACGCCAUUUUCCCCCUAAACGGAGCACAAAGAAGAAGAGGAAGAGGAAGUGAGAGAGAAUGGCGAAGCGAAGCGUUUUGGGACAAUCGGAGUUCUUCAGGAGGAGGAGCGAGUGUAGGAAGCAUCCAAGGCUCAGCAAUCAGCUCUGCCAUGCCCUUCUCGGUCUUGGCCUUGGAGUCGGCGAGCAGGUCACAACAAACUCCUCCUUCCUCUUCUGCUUCUUCUUCUUCUCACCACUCUUCCCAUUCCUAUGCUUCUCACUGACUCACUGAGACAACUAAAACAAUAACCUCAUCAGGAUGAUGGAUCUGUUGUAUGUAUAUUUUCUCUUUCUGGAAGUAAUGCCCAAGAUGGACAUUUAGCUGCUGGUCGUAAUGGUGUAAAGCGCCUCAGAACUAUAAGUUCUCAUCUGUUUUACUCUUUGAUGUGGUCAAACAUCCAAAUAUUUUAUCAUUCCUUUAUAGUAUGGAGACUAAAACUUUUCAUGGUAAUACGACAAAGGUUGCUAUCUAUAUUGUCAUGGAGCCUGUUGUUCCACUAUUAAAAAAGAUCAAGGAACUAAAUUUGGAAGGUACAUAAAGGGCGUGUGCCAAUCCUGUUUAUCACCGUCUUGAACAAUUUUGUAAUGAUCCUAUUCAGAAUGGUUUAGCUAGGAAUAUAGAUUGAAGAAAAUGGAUAGGAAAGUGAAGAAAAUGAAAAGAUUUGUCGCUGCUACGACACAACUAUUACAAGAGCAGGAAGUGCUGAUGAAGCUUGAGCAAACUCUGAGGAGAAUACAAGUCAAUGCUCAGGUAGAUCAUGUGAACUUGCUUGAGUUCCAGCAGAUGGUGAUGUGCCAACGUCAAGAAAUGAGAAAUUUAAAAGAUUUGUGUCCAUGGAAUAGAACUUUCACGCGGAUGAGUCAUGUUGCACCUUUUAAAGGAUGCAUGGUGGGUGGAAUUGAUUCUUCCGUUGAAGAGAUAUGCAAGCCAACCAUUGGUGGUUCAAUGCAGUUGAGAAAUGGUAGUAUUGAAUUGGUUGUGAGUCAAGUCUUCCACAAGGCUAUUUAUUGUUCACAAAAGAGAAUUAAAGCCAUAAAUUUCCACUUCAUUCCAUGAAAGCUGUUUUAAGCAUCUAGUUUGACAUUUUUUUUUCUUUUUUUCAAAGGCAAAGCUUCUAAUGGUAUUGAGUUACUUUCACGGCUUUUGAAAAAUUCUUUUAUUUGUUAAUAUGGUGGAUGAAUUCAGGUCCACUAGCCGUUUUCUUAUGAAGCAUAUACUUUGUCUUGUACUAUGCAAUUAUUUUUUAGUCCAUAGAUAUAUAUAUAUAUAUAUAUAUCCAUAUUUUCAUAUACAUACACAAACAUAUACAUAUUCCUCAUCCAUUAU